rnacentral:lncRNA from 11 species
GGAAGAAUCUUGCCCUUUUCAGUGAGCUUAGCCAAAAGAAAACUAUUACUGCAUCUUCUAGCUUAGCCUAAGGAAAGGCAUCCCCAACUCUCUUCUACAUGCUUCCUUAAAAUCCAAAGAACUAAC